rnacentral:rRNA from 1 species
GACGAACGCUGGCGGCGUGCCUAAUACAUGCAAGUAGAACGCUGAAGGAAGGAGCUUGCUCUUUCUGGAUGAGUUGCGAACGGGUGAGUAACGCGUAGGUAACCUGCCUGGUAGCGGGGGAUAACUAUUGGAAACGAUAGCUAAUACCGCAUAAAAUUGAUUAUUGCAUGAUAGUCAAUUAAAAGGUGCAACUGCACCACUACCAGAUGGACCUGCGUUGUAUUAGCUAGUUGGUGGGGUAACGGCUCACCAAGGCGAAGAUACAUUGCCGACCUGAGAGGGUGAUCGGCCACACUGGGACUGAGACACGGCCCAGACUCCUACGGGAGGCAGCAGUAGGGGAACUUCGGCAAUGGACGGAAGUCUGACCGGGCAACGCCGCGUGAGUGAAGAAGGUUUUCGGAUCGUAAAGCUCUGUUGUAAGGGAAGAACGAGUGUGGGAGUGGAAAGUUCACACUGUGACGGUAUCUAACCAGAAAGGGACGGCUAACUACGUG